CCUACGGGAGGCUGCAGUGGGGAAUAUUGCACAAUGGGCGCAAGCCUGAUGCAGCCAUGCCGCGUGUGUGAAGAAGGCCUUCGGGUUGUAAAGCACUUUCAGCGGGGCGGAAGGCGGUGAGGUUAAUAACCUCAUCGAUUGACGUUACCCGCAGAAGAAGCACCGGCUAACUCCGUGCCAGCAGCCGCGGUAAUACGGAGGGUGCAAGCGUUAAUCGGAAUUACUGGGCGUAAAGCGCACGCAGGCGGUCUGUCAAGUCGGAUGUGAAAUCCCCGGGCUCAACCUGGGAACUGCAUUCGAAACUGGCAGGCUAGAGUCUGGUAGAGGGGGGUAGAAUUCCAGGUGUAGCGGUGAAAUGCGUAGAGAUCUGGAGGAAUACCGGUGGCGAAGGCGGCCCCCUGGACAAAGACUGACGCUCAGGUGCGAAAGCGUGGGGAGCAAACAGGAUUAGAUACCCGAGUAGUC
rnacentral:rRNA from 1 species